UUAAAAACAAUGAUUUUAAACAUUCAUGAUUCUUUUAUUUUAAGAUAGGAGUAUUAUAUAAAUUUAUUUAUUGAUUUCCUAAUUGGUGAAAAUAUUUUGGACCAACCACUAAAAUCCACCAUCUUCUAUCCAAGAAGGCUUUGAAGCCUAUUGCAAAAACUACCAACCAGACCCCGAAAACAAAAAUUUCCAUUCAUACUUAAUUUCUUCUCCCAAUUUGCACUGUCAUGAAUUACUUGCUAGGAAUAUACUCUUAUUCAAAACCAUCCACUCCCUACUACACUUGGAAGAAAAUUCAAAAUAAAAUGGUGGCAAGAGUUCAACCCUGAGAAGGCCACCAAAGCCAAGGUUCUUGAAUGGAUUUCCAAACAUCUCAAAAUUUAUUUACAGAUGACCCUUCUGUUGCCAGAUUUCUUCAACAAAAAACUUCCACUAGUUCCAAACUAGCAAAAGCCAAGUCUAGAUUAGAAUAUAAAAAACUUCUUCUAGAAACCCUUGCUCAAAUGGAAGAAGAAGAGGAAACUGAAUCCUCUUCUAAAUCAAGUUGCAAUUCUUCCUCAACUCCACAAUUCAACAUUGACGAAGAAAUUCUAUAGAAAUCCAAAAUAGCUAAGGAUCAUCAACAUUUCAAAGUUCACCAAAACAACCGAAGACAAGAACAGCACAGCAUCCUCUCAAAAGAAGCAUCAUUACUCAAAUACAUAACUCUCAAAAGCAUUGAAGACAGCAUCAGAAGCAUCAACAACAAGUCAUCGUCAUCAACACUUUAUAUCCAAGAUAGCAUUAGAAGCAUCAUUACUCAAAUACAUAACUCUUAAAAGUAUUCAAGACAGCAUCAGAAGCAUCAACAGCAAGCCGUCAUCAUCAACACUUUCUGACCAAUCUUCAGCAGCUAUAGAAAAAAGUUAUUCAAGCACAUGGUUCCAAAAUCACUCCUCCAAGCAAAAGACAAAACCAUCUUCAUUCUUUUUAGCUCUACCCCUGAUUUUUCUUUUAAAAAGAAUAUCAAGGAUAGAGCCUCAAAAGCAGCAAACACUUUUUACUAUCCUAACAAACUUCAGGAUGAAGCCUCAAAAGUAGCAAAUACUUUUCAACAAACUUUGCUUUCAAGUCAGACAUCUUCUAACAAACUUCACCUCCAAGUUACUUUAUCUUCAAGUUACUUCAUCGACAAGUUACUUCAUGGCCAAGUCACUUCAUCCCCAAGAAAGAAGCCUUCUAUAAGAAGACCUCAAGAGCCAACAUUAAAGAACAAGCCUCAGCAAGAAGUAUCAUAGAAGCUUCAACCAAGUAACAUUACAAGCCAGUGAGGAAGUAUUCCACCAAAAAUCUCUUCUGUCUUGUAACACCAAAUCCUCUUCAAAAUCCUUCGCAUCUAAAACCUUUCCCAGUGUAGUCCAUUGUGGAAAAACCCUUUAUGUUGGGAUUCAAAAUAGAUUAGGAUCAAAAACCUUUGUUUCAAGCUUGUAUCCCAAAAGGCUUCAGCUAGAGAAAGUGAAGCAAGCUCCCUGAAGCCAUCCUAUAUUCAAAAUCCUUGUAGCUUCUCACCGUGUAAAUUUCAAAUGUUUAUUCAAAUGAAGUUUUAGUUCUGUUUCAAUGUUAUUUCAAUCUGUUUAAACUAUAUUCAAAUUUGCCUUAGUUUUGUUCAAA
rnacentral:lncRNA from 1 species